GUAGCCCCACCUCCUCCCUCGUCUUCUCCGGACUCCGCGGGAGCAGUUAGGUGCCCAGAGUCUCCUGAGAAAGUGGAGGGCGCGCCCGGGAGGCUGCGCUGCUGUCAGACGUGUCCAUCACCACAUGUGACAUUAAUGACAUCAUCCUGACCUCGCAGGAUCCCAGAAUAAUGGUGCUUGAAGGAUUUUCCAAAGUCAUCUACUUGCAACUCUCUUGAAAACUUUAAAGACAUUGGCCUGAAAGUUUCAGUGACUUGUCCAGGGAAACCCGGUUUGUGACAGAGUCAGAAGGAAAACUGCAGUUCCCUCUCAGAUGAGUCACCAAAAGCAUCUUAUCAAAGGGGACUUCUCAGGAAUACAUCCCAGCUGAAACGAACAAUUAAAAAUUCCUGCCUUCAAGCAUCCCAUUUCUUUUCUGUGAAUUUUCUGUACCAAAAGCUGAGCCACAGUUCUCUACACUUGCCCAGGAGCCACAGAAAGUGAACAUCCCUCAGGUGUCGGUGUCAUUCAAGCACGUGCCUGUGGAGUUCCCCAGGAGGAGUGGCCGCAGGUGGAGUCUGCACAGAGGACCCUGUACAGAGACGUGGUGAAGCUGGAGAACUACAGUUGCCUUGUCUGAUGGAAGAAUGGAAGCAAAGCUGUUAAGUGCCUUUGCCAAGGUCUUAGAAGAAGUCAGCAAGAAGAUGGUCUGGCUCAAGUCUCCUGACUCCAGUUUACUAUUCCCCACAAUAAUGUUGGAAAACCGCUUUGGGAAGGGAAGACUUAUUCCUAGUACUGUUGUCACACCACCAAGCUUCAGAAGUCAGGCAGAUAUUUUACUUUAUGGUUAAAUUGGUCACGUUUACUCCAUGUGUACCUACAUUCUGGGCCCUGUGCUUUGCCCUGGGAGAAUUCAGAGAAAGUAAAAGACUUAGACUUCCCUGGCUCUUACCACCCAGUGGGUGUGGGAGACACACACAUACAAAUGUGGCUGUAAUACAAGGGUAGGGAGGUCGGACAUGCAUUAAGAGAUACAAGAUGGACUUGGCAUGAAUAAGAUUUAACUGAGGUGAGACUGAGAAGAGUUGAGGGGAAUGGGGUGUCAACCAAAUUUUAUCCACCUACAAUUUUAGUGUUCAAAUUUUAUCUACCGUGGCAAGCCGUUAGUAGAUAAUGUUUUAAAAUUACUUUUAAGUAGAAGUAUUCGCCUAUUAGUUAUAUAAGUAGAAGUAAAUGCAAGAAGAGCUACAAUAGAAAUUGCUAAAGUGGAUUCUGUGGGGAAAGGAACUGGGGGGAUAGGAAGGAUUGGGGUUGUGAGGUGGGAGAGGGCCUGUUGUGGCUCUUUGUAAACCCUUCAGUACUAUUUGAUUUUG
rnacentral:lncRNA from 1 species